rnacentral:rRNA from 1 species
UACGUAGGGGGCAAGCGUUGUUCGGAUUUACUGGGCGUAAAGGGCGCGUAGGCGGCGCAACAAGUCACUUGUGAAAUCUCCGGGCUUAACCCGGAGCGGUCAAGUGAUACUGUCGUGCUAGAGUGCGGAAGGGGCUACUGGAAUUCUCGGUGUAGCGGUUGAAAAUGCGUAGAUAUCUGGAGGAACACCGGUGGCGAAGGCGGCAUCCUGGACCGGCAUUGACGCUGAGGGCGCGAAA